rnacentral:lncRNA from 1 species
UGUUGAAGGCGUCGUUAAGGGUGCUGGUCGGAGGAUGGCUAGCCAUGGGAAUAACUUUUGGCGUCACCAAGUUGAUUGGUCGUUCAGGACUCUAAUCCAUCUUCUAUAUUUUUAAUAUAUACCUUUUUCCUACAUGUUUUUUUCAUUUUGCUUUUCAUAGUUAUGAGUCUAUCCAAGGAUUCAACAUCUACUCCUCCAUCUAUAUGCGGAUCUUGACAUAUAAUUUGAGGGGAUCAAUUAAUAAUACUCCUAAUAUUUUAAAUUAUUUGAGUAGUAUUGAUUUUCACGAAGUUUAAGAAAGUUUUUAAUUUUAAUAUAUUUAAUAUUAAAAUUAAAUUUUUUUUUUAAAAUUAAAAUUUCAUGACUUUUAAUAUCAAAAAUUAAAAAAAUCAUAAAAAAUAAUUUUAAAAUAUAAAAAAAAAGUUUUAGAUGAUAACAAAAUAAUUUUGGGGCAUCUCAAAAAGGAAAAAUGAAAAAAAUGUGACAGCAAGAGUAUAUAAUAUAUUUUAUCUCAUUUUUUUUAGAUGUUUUUUAUCAUACUAUUAAUACAUAUAUAUAUACACACACACACAAACAAUAUACUAAUAAAAACAUGAUAAGCUUAUAAAAUUAUAAAAUAAAAAUAUUAUUAUGACAACAUUAUUCUUUUAACAAUAACAUGAUUUAUAAUUAAUCGUAAAAUUACUAAUUACACAAUCUGUCAAUAAAUUAUGAGAUUUUUUUAUUUUUUGACAAUUUAAAAUUGAAAUAAAAAAGAAAUAUGAAUAAAUACUCAUUUAACAUUUUAUCAAAACAAGAAAAUAAAUAUAUUUUUAAAAAAUGGAGAUGAAAAUUUGAGACUAAAAGUUAUAAUGUUUUUCUAUUCUUUUGUAAACUAGUUUCAAUAUGAUUUUUUUUUUGUUGGAAAAAGAAUUUUAACACUUGAUAGAAAUUUAAAGUAAAAAUAAAAGUAAAAAAUGAUAUUGAGAGAAGUUGUAGUAAGCUAAAUCUCCCUUUCUCUAAAUCUUCUAAACUUUGACAUCUCUUAUACCAAAAAAAUAUAUACUUGAUGCUUAGUUGAAUACUCGAAUCUUGUUGAGAAAGUUGGAAAGUUAAUUUGAUUUUUGUUAAUUUCAUUUAUUGUAAUUUAAAAUUUAUGACAAAUCUCUUAAUUUUAAGAAUUUGCAAAUAAUAACUGUUGGAUGCAACAAAUGAACAAAUAUCAUUACGAUUUGAAUAUUUUUUAAAUUGCAAUAUAUAAAAUUAAAUUAUAAAACACAAGAAAAAGAAAAUUAAUAUUUUUAAUUUAUAAGGUCAAUUUAUAUAUAUAUAUAUAUAUAAAUAUAUAUGCGCUAAAGGCUGUUUCAAAAUUUUGGAAAAGGCCAAAGUCCCCUCAGGUUCUCAUUACCAACCGCCCAUGUCUCCAUCCCAUAUAUAAGUGUCUUGUUUGUCUAUCAUUAGUUGUUUCAAACAGUAUGUCUUGUUUGAAAAGUUAAAUAAAAAUCAAAUUUACUUUUAUGUUAUUACUCUUAAUUAUACCUGCAAACACUUUUUUUUUUGCAAAAUAAAGAUAAUUCAAAAAAAUUAUAAAUCAAUGAAAAUAAAAAUUCAACUCAAAAUUUUUAAAUAUUAUGCAAAAUCAAAAUGAAACAAAAUACACGAGACGGAAAAAACUACAUAUUAAAAAAUAAUUAAAUAUUGGUGUAUUUUCCUAUCAAACAUAUGCAUACAUAGAGGCUUUUGCCCUGUUUUUGCCAAACGAAAGAAACAACCCAAUUACAUACCAAUAUGCAAUUUGAUUUCCCAAUCUCAUGGCUGAAAAAGGGGGAAUCCCAUAGUAAAGAUCUUAGGGUUUUUUUGUUUGUUUACUUACUAUAGCAGCAUGAAAUAGGUUAUUAAAACAAGUGUGUUUCACUCGUUCAGAAACACAAUCUCCAUAGUUGAGUUGGAACUAGAUUAAAGACGAUUGCAUGAAGACAGAUUUUGACCAUAAAUGGUUGUUACACAAACUGGUUUGAUAUUUUGAUUGUGUCGAACCAUUAGAAGAAGAAAAACAACUUCUCUAAUUCCUCCCUUUUUUCCAAUUGAUAAUAGUUUAUAAAAGGGUGACGGCUAAAUUUAGACGGCAAAGAUGCCAUUAUUAGUUAAUUAUUUAUUAUUAUUACUAGUUUGAUGUGUAAUUUGAUUACGUUUUUUCGAAAAGUCGUGUCCCAAUAUAACUACUACUUAUUUUAGUAACAAAAUUUUCCAUUAAUCAAGGAGUUAAAUCCUUUAGGUUAGUUUGGCUUUUGUUUUAUAUUUUUUUAAAAUUUUUAAUUUAUCUUUAAAAUCCAUAUCCUAUUAUUUAUUUGACCAAAAAUGAUAUUACGUAUAUAAGUUUUUUUAAACUUGUAAAAAAUAUUAAUUUUAAUAAUACGUCAAUUAAGAUAAAAGUUAAUCAAUUAUUUUUUUUAAUACAAUAUAAAAAAACAAAAAAAUACAAAAUAAAUUGAUACUUAAAAUCGAAUGAUAAAAAGCAAAAAUCAAUUGUUACAGUAUUAGAACCGAUUGUAAAAUUAAAGUUUUUGAAUUUUAUUUUAAAUAUAAUUCAAAAUAUUAAAAAAAUCAAAUGAAAACGAAACGAACUUGAAUUCUUUAUGAUGAUUUAAUGAUUUCUUUUGUAGAAAGCAUACAAUAAAGAGUAGGACUUGUAGAUUAAUCAAUGUAGGUAAUGCUUGAAAAAGAAAUGGAAUAAAGGAACAAGGCAUGAGAGGAAUUGCAACUUUUUUCAGUUAUUAGUCAUUACUUAUUCUUUUGAUAAAAGCAAGUUAAAAAAAAUGGUGAAAGAGUGUUGCAGGAGAAGACUAAUGGGAGAGAACAAAACAGAAAGCAACUGGAAAUAAUCCAAAUUACAGAUGACAUUAAUCUUAACAAUUGCAAAAGAUGAAGGAUUAUAUGUUGGAAUUACUAAACAAAUGAAGCAUCCAAAACGAUCCAGUUUCAUGUCAAGUUGUUGGUGGGCAAUCGAGAAUGAAAUGAAACAGUCUAUUACCCCAUAUAUUCAGUUAUUUACAGAAUAAAUAGGCUUUGAAUUGAAAUUUUUUUCAUUGUUUUCACAUUUCUAAUGUUCACUUCUUUUUUUUUUUUCUCAUAAAAAAAUCACAUCUUUUAAGUCCCAAAAAAGAAUAAAAAACCAUUAAAAACAUAUAUAAUAACAUAUAUUUUUAUUUAUUUAUUUAUAAUUGGACAUGGUGUCAUUUUGUGAAAAUUCUGUUUCUCGUCCUAAAUAUUUGGUUUUCUUGUUUAGAGCACUCCUCUGCUACGAUUUGAAUUUGAAUUUGAAUUGUGUGGCAACCUAUAAAUUACUGCUUUCCUGCAGGCGUGUGUUAAGAGAAUCCAAGGUGAUUAUGGUCUUCCAUUUAUAAAUGCGUAAGUAGUUUUAUUUGCUUAGCUGCAUUUUGGUUAUAUUCUGUAACUUGUCCUGAUACCAACUUGGCGGAAUGCAGGUUGCACCAUCGCUAUUCUCGAAAGUGAAAUAACCAGGGCCAAUGUUGUUUAAGUUGACAUUAGCAUCACGUCCGGCUGUUUUGAGUUCGAAAGCCAGUGAUUGUUUCAGAAACUAUUGAUCUUGUAUUGUGAACUUGAGAUGCCUUCGCGGCUUAUCUGAGAACUGUAAAAAUUUUUUUGUGUUACUGUGGAAACGUUUAAUGAUUUAUCAAUAAAUUUGGAUCCUUGGAGACAUGACUAUGGGCUGGUCAGAAGUGCCAUAACGGAAUGACAGCAAUAAUUUGAAUAUAAACUGUGUUGAUGUUACCUGCAUAACUAUUCAUGUGUAGCUUUAAAUUAGGUAUUUAAAUUGGUUUUUUCAAAGGUUGCAUAUGAUAAUUUGGGUCUAAAAGAAGAGAUUUGAAUUUUAAAAUUAGUAUAAAUUGUGUGAGAAAAACAUGUAAAUAUGAUCGACAUAAUUAAUCUUAAAGUAAAGAGUUUGUCUAAUUUUUGUUUAGUGUGAAUUUCGUUCUCACAAUAAACUAAAGUGUAUGAAUUGUUAGCAUUGCAGAUAAAAAAACCAUUAAUCUCAACCAGUUAAUAACAAAUUCAGUGAGAAUCUUAGAACUGCUCCAUUAACUAAGGGAAGACUUGAGUUCCAGCAACAACUGGUGCAUCUGCGCUUGCUUUUGCUGUUGGGGCUGUCAUACCAUUAGUUUCUGCUUUGUUCAUAAAUGUUUACGUGGUGAGGUUGGUGGUGGUGCUGGCUGUUGCUAGCUUAGGCCUGUUAGCGUUUGGCGCGUUGGGAGCCCUUUUGGGGGGUGCACCCAUGUUGAAGGCGUCGUUAAGGGUGCUGGUCGGAGGAUGGCUUGCCAUCGGAGUAACUUUUGGCCUCACCAAGUUGAUUGGUCGUUCAGGACUCCAAUCCAUCUUCUAUAUUUAAUAUAUACCUUUUUCCUACAUGUUUUUUCUUUUUGCUUUUCAUAGUUAUGAAUCUAUCCAAGGAUUCAACAUCUACUCCUCCAUUGAUCUAUAUGCGGA